UACGAAGGGGGCUAGCGUUGCUCGGAAUCACUGGGCGUAAAGGGUGCGUAGGCGGGUCUUUAAGUCAGGGGUGAAAUCCUGGAGCUCAACUCCAGAACUGCCUUUGAUACUGAGGAUCUUGAGUUCGGGAGAGGUGAGUGGAACUGCGAGUGUAGAGGUGAAAUUCGUAGAUAUUCGCAAGAACACCAGUGGCGAAGGCGGCUCACUGGCCCGAUACUGACGCUGAUGCACGAAAGCUAGGGGAGCAGACAGG
rnacentral:rRNA from 1 species